rnacentral:tRNA from 1 species
AUUUAUAUAGUUUAAUAAAAACCUUACAUUUUCAUUGUAAAAAUAAAAUCUUUCUUUUUAUAAAUU